rnacentral:misc_RNA from 1 species
AAGUCGUAACAAGGUUUCCGUAGGUGAACCUGCGGAAGGAUCAUUAAUACGUACUCUCACGUAUCACUCAAUCGUGGACUUGUCCCGCUUUUUGUGGAGAGUUGGAGGCGAAAUUUGUGGUCAUAUUUUAACCAGCGUGGGGGAGAAUUUGGCUUCACGGCUACUUUCUCUUUGACCUGUUCGCCGAGGGUUAAUAAAUCGGAGCGACUUUUUGAUUGGAAAGACGAGUGCAGCUUGUUCUGUAUGCAUCUUCUGGUCAAUUUCGGUUGUUUUCGAUUCGACUCUUUACAAAGCGUUUUUUCUAAUCCAUCCCGGGUCAAUUAUUUUACCCCGAGUACUAUUAUCAAGAACUAACUGUGUUUUUUUGCUUCAUUGCGAAAAAACGCCAAAUACCGAAACUUAAGAACAACUCUUAACAACGGAUAUCUUGGUUCUC